rnacentral:rRNA from 1 species
CCUACGGGGUGCAGCAGUGGGGAAUAUUGCACAAUGGGGGAAACCCUGAUGCAGCGACGCCGCGUGAGUGAAGAAGUAAUUCGUUAUGUACAGCUCUAUCAGCAGGGAAGAAAAUGACGGUACCUGAGUAAGAAGCCCCGGCUAACUACGUGCCAGCAGCCGCGGUAAUACGUAGGGGGCAAGCGUUAUCCGGAUUUACUGGGUGGAAAGGGAGCGUAGACGGCAGUGCAAGUCUGGAGUGAAAGGCGGGGGCUCAACCCCCGGACUGCUCUGGAAACUGUACGGCUGGAGUGCAGGAGAGGUAAGUGGAAUUCCUAGCGUAGCGGUGAAAUGCGUAGCAAUUAGGAGGAACACCAGUGGCGAAGGCGGCUUACUGGACUGUAACAGACGUUGAGGCUCGAAAGCGUGGGGAGCAAACAGGAUUAGAUACCCGGGUAGUC